ACCCUCAUCUCAGGCUACAGGCUGGUUGGUCAAAGUUGAGAGAGAAGUAGAGGCGAGAUGACUAUUCAAACACGGAGGUGGAUGUCAGAAAAUAUUCUCACUGCUGCUACAGGAAAAUCGGGUUUAGAGGUACGCAUGACUAGCUGUGCCGGGUAACAGCACGGACCACUUGGACUUGCCAUCCCCAGAGAUUUGAAAAAUAUACCAGACUUCACUGUCCAGGAACACUGUGUGCUUAAGACGGGUGUCGGCUCACAGAAACCUAGGGACGUUCUGAAAUUCUUAGAGCCCGUUCCAGGAGCGACGGGGAGUGGAGGCAGGCUGCAGCAUCGUGGUCUUAGCAACGGCCAUUAGGCUGAUCAAAGAGCCUCUGUGUCUCAACAACAAAUUAAGUUCCAACAAUUCCAACCGUUUGCCCUUCUGAGGAUGUUCCUCAGGCUGCAGAGGGACUGUCUCAUCUUUGUGGUUUUCCCAGAGGUGACCACAGAGGAAGCCCACAGUUCGAGCUGGAACGACUCCCACAUAGAUGCUGAUAAACCUUUUUUGGAGCCUCAAAAUGCUGCUGUGUGAUGGCUACGGCUCUUGAAUGUCACCAGCUGGGAAGUUACUACUGUUCUCUUCCCCUGGCAGGAGUGACAGUUGAUAUAUUCACUGUGAGUGCAAAGUAAUGACAAUGUUUUAUAGGACGACUUCCUGAGUGUAUUUGAGAAGAGCGAGCAGAGGGAAUGGAGGAGGGUUAGGAGCAGGGAGUUGAGUUGGAAUCAUUACUAGGCUCAGGAUGUAGCAAAUGACUAAUUUGGAGCAUCUGUCAUUUGUUAUUCGUGCGGGAAAUUUUUAGUUAACGCUUACUUUGUGCCUGGCCUUGCUGUGGCCACUGGGAACAAACAUGGAUCCUAUAGUCAUAAAGUCCUAUCUACCAUCGAAUGGAAGAUAUAGAUACUUAUAAACAAAUAAACACUAAAGAGUGGCAGAAGAGGAAGGCCAUGGAGCACUGGUCAGGGAGGUGACUUCCGAGCCAAGCCUCCAACAUAAGCAAGAGCGAAUGGAAACUCUUAGCAAGUCCCCCCAAAGGCAUGGGCUUGAUCAACGUCGGUCCCCGGCUUCCAGAACGUCAAUGGGCUGUGGACAGGUUUCUGGGAAAUGGGAGGAGCAAUUCAGCAGCUGGUCCAAUCAAGUGUGUCAGUUGGGUCCUUCAAGACAGGGUUAAAAGUGUGAAGGAUUUAAAGAUUUAUCUGGAGUAAUACCUGUGAGAUAAAGGGACAAGGAAGGAGUGUGCAGAGAAAGGAAGCCCUCACCAGGAUGCAGCCCUGACGCCUCUGAAAGGAGAGGAGAAAGAAAGAAGACUGGGUAAGGUGAGCCCCAGACAGCGGGACAACUUGGAGAAGUCUCAGCCAGUCCUAUAGGAAGCUCCGCCCAAAGACAGAUGUAGAGAAGUUCGGUACUGGGCGGAAACGACCAGACUCUGUUGCCCUGUUGCCUUCAGGCAUUGGUUUGGGGCUGCCUGAGGAGAACACGGCUUCAGCUUAAACAUUGCAGUGGAUCCUGGAGGCACUGCAGCCAGGGGCUGUCAGCUGACUGUCCUCCUUGCAGCUGAACGGCGCAGGUUUUCUUGAAGGGAGAGCCAAGCGGCACCUCUCCAUGGCUGCCACACAAGGCCUUGCAGUCAGCAGUCAAGUUUCAGCAUCAUCAGCUAUCGGUGAUCUCUGCCGGUGCAGGCAGCGGCUGCCCAACGGUUAGCGCCACAGACACCGUGAAGCAGCGCCUCUGCUCGCGUCUGGAGGGAAUUUGCACGCUGGACUUUUAAGCACUGAUGCAUCAAGGAUCCCACCUUGGAGGCCUAACUUGGGAGAUGCCAACGCGGGUCUCCUUUCUCCCGGACACACCGCUCCUCGCGACAGCUCCCUUCUUUGCAGCGGGCAGCUCUUCUGAGGACCCAGCUGCCCAGACGCACUGCCCCUGAUUCUACCGAACUCAUCUUUCUAUUCCCCAGCGUGGGGCUGGAGAAGAGUGAAGUAGGGGUCUAGGUUGACAAGGCCUCUUCUCGCAGGCGUGUGGAGGAAAGGACAGCCUUCAGAAGGGACUGAAUUACCAGCAGUGGGAACCGUGGUACCUGACACUCGGCCACCAAAUCAGAAAAGCAGGUGACAGCAACAUUUGCCUAAGCCUUCAUAGCUUCUCACAUUUUUCAGGGACUAAUUUUUUAAUUAACACCAUAUAUUUUAUUUAAUUUACUUUUAAAUAUGUUUUUAUUUGUAGAUAACUGUAGGUUCCCAUGCAGUUACUCUCACCCAGUUUCUCCAGGCGUAUCAUCUUGCAAACACAGAUGAUAAUCCCGCAGUCAGGACGUGGAUGCUGACACAGUGCACCCAUCGUGUUCACAUCCCCCAGUUGGCGUGUGUGCGUAUUUCGUUCUACGUAGUUUUGUCACAUGUUCGCAUUAACGUGUCCACCACCACAGUCAAGAUACCAAACAUUUCCAUGUCGCCCAGGGUCCCUCCUGCUGCCCUUUUAUAACCACCCCCACCACCCCC